GUCACACCUGAAAAAGGAAAUGGCUGCUUAACCGCCCUGCCCCAUCACAUCUGGGCCAGAUACCCAGACCUCUCCGGAACUCCAGAGGGCACGGCCGAGACUGGUGCAGGCUCCUCCCCAAGAGUUUGUGGGGUGACUCACCCUUUGCUCUUCAAGGGACUGGAUCUGGGGACACGUCCGGGCCCCGCUGUGGGGUCGGCUGGAGGACCAGGACCUGCGGGCACCACAGAUGGAAGGGCCACCUGGGGGGGGGCAGCCACCAGCUGGGCUCUUAGGACUUGGGGGGCAGCUGCAAUGGGGCGUGCCCUCCUGCCCCAGGGCAACCUUGGUAGCCGGGCAGACCUGGCCCCCGCAGCACUGCCCUGUCCUAGCUGAGUGACGUUGAGAAGCAGGGGGUGUUCUCUGGGCCUCGGCGGGCUCGCUGCAAACACAUCGCAGCUCUGUCUGUACUCACGGUGUGUCCCGUGUCCCGGCCUCUGGCUCUGGUUUGCCCCGGAGUCCUCGGCCGGGAGGAACCCAUGGGAUAGGGUGAGCGGACCUGCCUGCUGAGGAGGGGGCAGGGGGGUAGGCCUGCCCCCGAGGCCCUCUGGGGUCUGAGCAUGUGGGGGCUGCAGCCGUCGCUCCCUCUCCCCGCCGUGGCGGAGCUCCUGACACAUAGCAGCCCGACCACAGCCCCCACAUCCAGUGCAGCUGCCCCAGGCUGAACUGCCCCUGCGGACCACAGGGCCCCCUUGGGCCCCAGGCAGGCCUGCUGCUGCCUCAACCUCCACCACAGCGGCUGAUGGGGCCUGGGGCCUGCCCUGGGCCUCCAAGCUGUGGGCCUGCUGGCGGGGUACAGUGUAGGGUGAAGACCACCUCUCUCCCACACGCGGUGGCUCUGGCAGACCCAGAUUUAUGAGCAGGUCUGGGAGUGCGCAGGUGAGGACGUCUUCCCCAGCCUUCCCGGCGGACUUUGCCCCACACCACCUCUGGGUUCUUCUGUCACUUCCUGCUGCAGGCAGGCGUGCAGCACCUCCUUCGUGGGGGCCCGUCCUUCCCCGUCCUGCUCCUGCGCCAGCCUUGGGGUGGCAGAGCUUCUGGGGUUGUUCGGAUCUGCCCUGAAGCCCUGGAUGGCAAACGUCUCUUGGCAGAGUUAGACCAGCCGGCUGCCUCCCCCUCUGCAGUUGGGAUUGUGAAGGAGAAGUGGGCAGGCUGCCCCUCCCGGCUCCUCCAGGGGGACUGAUUCCUUUCGCAGCUGUGGUCUUCCCUUCUGCCGCUGUGCUCAGCCCCUUCCGGCCUGCAGGAAGCCCUCCCCACCUCUGCCUCCUCCAACCUCCCAGGCGCAGCUCAAGUGCCACCUCCUCCAAGAAGCCUCCCAGUCAUGACCUGCCUGUUAUGAACUUUAGUCUUCUGCCAGGCUUACCCAUCCCCCCACCAUGAACAGCAGCAACUGCAGCUCCAGUGAGCUCGCCUGGCCCCGGGCGGUCACGUACGUCCUCUACACCUACACGAGCCUGCUGCUGGUGCUGGGCCUGGCGCUCAACGGCGUGGCGCUCUGGGUGCUGUGCCACCGCCUGCAGCAGUGGACGGAGACCCGCGUCUACAUGGCCAACCUGGCCGUGUCCGACCUCUGCCUGCUCUGCACCCUGCCUUUCUUCCUGCACUCUCUGAGGAGCACUGUGGACACACCGCUCUGCCAGCUCUCCCAGGGCAUCUACCUGGCCAACAGAUGGCUGGGCAGAGCCAGGGAGGUGGCCUCUGAGCACAGGAACCUCUGGAGGGCGAAGACCCCACUGUCCAGAUGUUGCCAGGGGAACCCCCAAGGAGGUAGCCCCCUGCCCCACCCUCACCUGUGCCCUCCUGAGGGCCCUCACGCCUCUCCCCCACCUCCCCUUCCCGGUCCUGCUGCCCCACCUGCCUUCAGAAGGCAGGACCCCUGCCCCAGCCACCUCCCCCUCCUCCCCAGGAAACCGUUCCAGAGUAAAGGGCGAGCUGCCAUCAGAAUCCGUGGGUAUGUCCUGAGGAGCUCGGCUGACACAGUGCCCAGGCAAAGCUGGCCACGAGGGUGGGGGAUGCAGGCCGGCCUGGCCUGGCUCCUGGGCCCCAUGCCUGUCACCGGCCGCAUCACCAGGUUUCACAGCACCGCGCUGCCGGGGCACCGUGGGAGGGGAGCGGCUGUCGCACUGUGGAGGGUGGGGCCGCCAGCCUUCAUCCUGUCCUGGAAUGGAUUUUGGGUUUCUGCCCAAGGUCCCUCCUGUCCUAAUCCAACAUCUGUCCCUCCCUGCUCCCCCUGCAGAAACGGGUUGGGACAGGGAGGGGUAUCCGCAGCACAGAGGACAGCUGGGGCUGUUCAGUUGUGCAGAGGACACACCCUGGGAGAAGGCUCUGUGCCCCGAAGGAUGGGGCGAGGCUGACCCCACUGCAGAUCCUCCCAGCUCCCCCAGCCCACGCUAGCCUGCCCUCUCAGGGGAGCAAGGAACAUUCUGGAAGCCACAGAGGCCUGGAGGCAGUGUGUGGAGACCCUGGGUGGGAGUUCCCUCAGGGAGCACAGGCAGUGCGCCCUGCUGGGCCUCCCACCCCACCCUUCCUGCUCCAGCCCGAAGGGCCUGGACCUUAUGUGCGAUGACCCGCCCACUGUGAACGUGCCAAGCCCCACUGGACGUCAGUGUCAUUCACACCGAAGAGUCAAUGUGGACCGCUUUUAUUUCCAGAUGCUUUUUAGAUUUCUAGAUGAAACUUAAAGGGAAUCUUGCCAAUCUUUAGAGUAACUUUCUGUGUCUGUGACAGAUCCAUGGACCUGGGUGACCCACCCAUUACCAAGACAGGGGACAGACUCCCCACGUCCCUGCCCACUCAACUCCUGCCCUCAACAGAGGCCGCCCCUGUCCAGUUCCUGCCCUCACAGGCUCAUACCAAUGAGAGGACAAUCACACGCAGCCAGGUCCCCGGGCUCCCGCCACUUGUCCGGCCGUGUUCCUGGAGGGGACUGGCAGUGGGGCAACUGAUGCUGCUGCGCGUGUCAGAGUUUUGUCUCUUUUUACUGCUGAAUGAAUUCUAUUUUAUGGGCCAGCCUGGGGAGGGAGACCAUCCCGACGAGCACUGGAUCUUCCAGUUCUCAACAUGAUGCGACUCUUCAUUUCAUGUGGAUCUUCUUUGAUUUCUAUCAAUGUUUUCAAGUUUUUGGCAUGCAUAUUUUGCAAGUGUAUUAGAUUUACUGCUCUACUGACAUCUGUGUAGUUCACAUUUUUGAUGCUAUUAUAAACAGUACUGUUUUUACGACUAAAAUGUCCAACUGUUCAUUGCUGGCACAUAGAAAUGGAAUGAGUGUCCGUAUACUGACCAUAUAUCCUGCCACCUUGUGAAACUCAUUCAUUCUAGCAGCUUUUUUGUACAUUAUUUUGAAUUUUCUUGCUCAGCAAUUAUGCCAUCUGUGGACAGCUUCAUUUCUUCUGAUCUGUGCACCUUUU